AUUGAACGCUGGCGGCAGGCCUAACACAUGCAAGUCGAGCGGAUGAAGGGAGCUUGCUCCUGGAUUCAGCGGCGGACGGGUGUGUAAUUCCUAGGAAUCUGCCUGGUAGUGGGGGAUAACGUCCGGAAACGGGCGCUAAUACCGCAUACGUCCUGAGGGUGAAAGUGGUGGUUCUUCGGACCUCACGCUUUCACAUGAGCCUAGGUCGGAUUAGCUAGUUGGUGGGGUAAAGGCUUACCAAGGCGACGAUCCGUAACUGGUCUGAGAGGAUGAUCAGUCACACUGGAACUGAGACACGGUCCAGACUCCUACGGGAGGCAGCAGUGGGGAAUAUUGGACAAUGGGCGAAAGCCUGAUGCAGCCAUGCCGCGUGUGUGAAGAAGGUCUUCGGAUUGUAAAGCACUUUAAGUUGGGAGGAAGGGAAGUAAGUUAAUACCUUGAUGUUUUGACGGUACCAACAGAAUAAGCACCGGCUAACUUCGUG
rnacentral:rRNA from 1 species